rfam:Populus trichocarpa isolate Nisqually-1 chromosome 18, whole genome shotgun sequence.
GGGCAUUGACGAUUUCAUCUUGAAAGGUCUCGUUCGUCGUAACUGGCUCUUUAAAGGCCUUGACGACCAUCCUGAUAUAUUCCGAGGCC